GAUCACCCAACCAAGAGCGCCUCUCCUUAUGGCUCCCUUCAGGAUUCAGAGAGACAUGAAGAAUAUGAUGGAAUUUACACCCAAAAUCUAUGGAACUCUGGCUUGGCCGCAACCAGUCACUGCACCUGGUUAACUUCCAUAUCGGUUUUCCCCCCCACUUUCCGACCAGCCAGGAGAUCGCUCUUUGGUAAGGAAUAUACUAGAAACUUUUGUGAACAAUCGCUCCCAAGACCUAGGGGGAGUGCCCCCUUUUCCAUCCACAGGAGCCCCUGAUAUUUGACCAGCCAAAGCCCCAUUCAUCAUGGAACUUUUGUUUUGGACAUGCACAUUGAUAGUGGCCAGUCAAAUCUUUACUCCGGUGGCAAUUCUCCAAUUUUGCUUGGAUCCGCGUACUAUUUUGCCAGUAUGGCCACUCGGAUCAGCGCUAUCUGGGGAUGUAUCACAUGUGGUGUUACUGUGGGUUUUUAUUAUGUUUUGGGGGUUAUUUUAUGUUGUGACUUCUCUGUCCAGAAGAUAAUUGGUUUAGUGAGAGAACAUAAUUAUCUCCCAGACAGAGGCCCCAUGGUGUGAUCGUUAUACUGUUCAAUAGGGACCCCAUACUGGGGGUCUGUUUAAAUUACCAUAUUGGUGACAAUAAAAUGUAUUCUCC